rnacentral:rRNA from 1 species
UGCUGCUCUAAGAUCGGUGGUAAAUCUCAUCGAAGGCUAAAUACUUGUGAUAGACCGAUAGCGAACAAGUACCGUGAGGGAAAGUUGACAAGCACUUUGAAAAGAGGGUGAAAAGAACCUGAAACCGUUACGGCAGAAGCGUAUUGCUGUCGAAGUGCCAAGUAUGCGUUGUUCAAUAAAAAAUCCUUUUAUGUAUUCAACGUUAUAUUUUCCGCGCAUGUAUUGUAAGUGAUGGAAUUUGCAUUACUUGCGGUAGAGGUAUCCCUCUUUACGAGGUGAAGAUGCGCGGGUCUAGACGCGAUGCGACCCGUCUUGAAACACGGACCAAGGAGUGUAGCACAUUUGCGAGUCAAAGGGUUUUGAAACCUGAGGGCGAAGUGAAAGCGAAAAAUAGAAAAUAUGCUAUUUGAGGCGGCAUACGAUCGUUGAUUGUACGUCCGACCUGGAGCAAAUGUGGUACGACCCGAAAGAUGGUGAACUAUGCCGGGGUAGGGCGAAGCCAGAGGAAACUCUGGUGGAGGCUCGUAGCGGUGCUGACGUGCAAAUCGCUCGUCUAACCUGGGUAUAGGGGCGAAAGACUAAUCGAACCAUCUAGUAGCUGGUUCCCUCCGAAGUUUCUCUCAGGAUAGCAGCCCAAAAUGUGUUGUUGUGUGCGGUAAAGCGAAUGAUUAGCGUAUUUGGGGACAUCAUGUCUUCAGACGAUUCUCAAACUUUAAAUGCGCACGGAUGUUGCCGCUUUAGUGGGCUUCAUCGUCAAAAACGUUGGGUUUGUGGGCCACUUUUGGUAAGCAGAACUGGCGAUACGGGAUGAACCGUAAGCUUGGUUAA